UACAGAGGGUGCAAACGUUGCUCGGAACCACUGGGCGUAAAGGGCGCGUAGGCGGACAAGUAAGUCGGGCGUGAAAUCCCUAGGCUCAACCUAGGAACUGCACUCGAAACUGCAUGUCUUGAGUACCGGAGAGGAAAGCGGAAUACCUGGUGUAGAGGUGAAAUUCGUAGAUAUCAGGUGGAACACCAGUGGCGAAGGCGGCUUUCUGGACGGUAACUGACGCUGAGGCGCGAAAGCGUGGGGAGCAAACAGG
rnacentral:rRNA from 1 species